CUGGCGUGCUGGGAAGGGAGAGGGAAGCAUGGGGUGGAGACGCCACAAGGGCAUGGAGAGCCCAGGGUGGAGAUGCCGAGAUGGCAGAGGCACCCGCUGAGGGCUUCGUGGGCUGCGGUUGCUGCCUGGGAGACCUCCAGUCAUAGAAUGAGCUAAAUGAUUCUUGAAGUUCGGUUAUUGCAUUUUAAUGACUUAAUAUCUUUGUUUAGCCACAGAGCUCUCCGGACUGGGGAUGGCUGAGACACAGCCUGGGCUGGACUGAACAGCUUCCAGAGGAGAACGGACAGGUGCCACGUGGUCAGGGAAGCCCCCACGGAGUCCGACGUGGCGGUGACUGCGGAUGCCCCACGGUGAGCCCGAGUCCAAGGGAGCAAAGAAGGAGAGGGCGUGUUUGGCUGCGUGAAAACAGUAGGAACGUUCUGAAAUCACGGAAUCCUUAUGAGAAGAACUCGUCAUCCAAUACCCAACAGGAGCUGCUCCUGCCCCGGUCUUCACAACGCGAGGGCUCCAUCCUCCGUGAUCCUUGAUAGCUCAGCUCUAGGAUCUUCACAACGAGAGGGCUCCGUCCUCUGUGGUCCUUGAUAGCUCAGCUCUAGGGCCGCGCACAUUCUUGGUAGAGUGGGACGUGUCUGCUGUUUUUCUAAAAGCUAUUUUUUAAAGGCCUCUGCAACACACAACAUACGUUCUUUUAAACCGCAGUGAAAACUUGAAUGUAAAAAUGGGCCUCACGGGAAUCUUUUCAAUAUUUUACAUUUCUUCGGAUACUUUUCAAAGCCCCUCCAUUUCUCCACCUCCCCUUUCUCAUCUGGUCUCAGCCGGCACAGUGUGGCACGGAGGUGGACCGAUUUCCUCAGGACACCACAGCCAAAGCUCGGAAAACCAGGUUUCCUGAGUUUCAGUUCAGCCAUCCACGACUGUGGUGACAGGCAUCGUGUCUUUCUCUUUAAGAAAAAAAGAAAAUUGUAUAUAAAUCACUGCUUUCAGCUCAGCAGGGAUGAAGUUGUGAGGAUGGUGCCUUCCUCAGGGUGGGACCCCAGUGGGGAUGAGAAUCAGCAGGGCCCUAGGCCCCAGCAGUGGCUUUCGCAUGAUUGAGAAGCCUGUCUUGUCAGUCCAUUUACUCAUCUUAAAGAACAAGAAUACAGUGUGAAGGGGACCUGCCUCCACUCUGCCUCUCUCGGCUCUGGGCUGUGAUUCUCUGCACAGACCACGUUGCAUGUGGCCAUUUGCCUAUCUGCUUCCCUUGUUGGGUGGUGAUG
rnacentral:lncRNA from 10 species